CCUUCUCUCUAAUCACCAGAACCGCAACCAGUGGUCUUGUACUCGAUUCUAUUUUAGUCCACCCAAACCACUCAUCAUCAACACCCUUCUCCACCUCACAGAUGGUCCCUCACACUCCUCAACUACUUAAGCCAACAGUGUAUCAAGAAGACUAAGCUGCACAUCUAGAGCAUCCAUGGUAGAGCUCGAUCUGAUUGCAACAGAGGUCAGAGGAGGCUUUCCAGUCCCAUGAAGCCUACAAACUCGGGGAAUGGAAGUUGGGUUCGGUUUCGUUUGAGGAUAACAAGAGCUAGGUUGAUGCAUGUUCAUUUAAUAGAGGAUGAAGUCGUAUAGAGGUUGAAUUGAUCGCCAUUUUGAUCUCCUCUAACCCGCAAGAUUCUCGAAACCAGAAAACCUUAUAGGUGUGGAGUUUGUAACAGUGGAGGCAGCAGAGACUUUUUACUAUGAUUAUGCAAAAGAAAUGGGUUUUGAUGUAAGAAAAGAUGACAUGAGAACAAGUACAAGAACUGGGAGAGUCACUAUCCGCAAAUGGGUUUGUUCUGCAGAGGGGGAAA